UACUCCUACGGGAGGCAGCAGUGGGGAAUAUUGCGCAAUGGGGGGAACCCUGACGCAGCCAUGCCGCGUGAAUGAAGAAGGCCUUCGGGUUGUAAAGUUCUUUCGGUAUUGAGGAAGGUUGAUGUGUUAAUAGCACAUCAAAUUGACGUUAAAUACAGAAGAAGCACCGGCUAACUCCGUGCCAGCAGCCGCGGUAAUACGGAGGGUGCGAGCGUUAAUCGGAAUAACUGGGCGUAAAGGGCACGCAGGCGGUUAUUUAAGUGAGGUGUGAAAGCCCCGGGCUUAACCUGGGAAUUGCAUUUCAGGCUGGGUAACUAGAGUACUUUAGGGAGGGGUAGAAUUCCACGUGUAGCGGUGAAAUGCGUAGAGAUGUGGAGGAAUACCGAAGGCGAAGGCAGCCCCUUGGGAAUGUACUGACGCUCAUGUGCGAAAGCGUGGGGAGCAAACAGGAUUAGAUACCCUGGUAGUCCACGCUGUAAACGCUGUCGAUUUGGGGGUUGGGGUUUAACUCUGGCGCCCGUAGCUAACGUGAUAAAUCGACCGCCUGGGGAGUACGGCCGCAAGGUUAAAACUCAAAUGAAUUGACGG
rnacentral:rRNA from 1 species